CUACGGGAGGCAGCAGUGGGGAAUAUUGGACAAUGGGCGAAAGCCUGAUCCAGCCAUGCCGCGUGUGUGAAGAAGGCCUUCGGGUUGUAAAGCACUUUCAGUGGGGAAGAAAGCCUUGGGGCUAAUACCCUCGAGGAAGGACAUCACCCACAGAAGAAGCACCGGCUAACUCCGUGCCAGCAGCCGCGGUAAUACGGAGGGUGCGAGCGUUAAUCGGAAUUACUGGGCGUAAAGCGCGCGUAGGCGGUCUGAUAAGCCGGUUGUGAAAGCCCCGGGCUCAACCUGGGAACGGCAUCCGGAACUGUCAGGCUAGAGUGCAGGAGAGGAAGGUAGAAUUCCCGGUGUAGCAGUGAAAUGCGUAGAGAUCGGGAGGAAUACCAGUGGCGAAGGCGGCCUUCUGGACUGACACUGACGCUGAGGUGCGAAAGCGUGGGUAGCAAACAGGAUUAGAUACCCGAGUAGUC
rnacentral:rRNA from 1 species